rnacentral:rRNA from 1 species
CUUCGGACUUAGUGGCGGACGGGUGAGUAACGCGUGGGAACAUACCCAAAGGUACGGAAUAGCCUCGGGAAACUGGGAGUAAUACCGUAUGUGCCCUUUCACUGUAGUGGUGGGAGGGGAAAGAUUUAUCGCCUUUGGAUUGGCCCGCGUUGGAUUAGGUAGUUGGUGGGGUAAUGGCCUACCAAGCCGACGAUCCAUAGCUGGUUUGAGAGGAUGAUCAGCCACACUGGGACUGAGACACGGCCCAG